CUGCAGCUCAAGUGGUGACCACUAUUAUUGGGCCUAAAACGUUCGUAGCCGGUUUGGUAAAUGCCUGGGUAAAUCGUGUAGCUUAACUAUACGAAUUCCGGGUAGACUGCCAAACUUGAGACCGGGAGAAGCUAGAGGUACUCCUGGGGUAGAGGUGAAAUUCUGUAAUCCUGGGGGGACCACCAGUGGCGAAGGCGUCUAGCUAGAACGGGUCUGACGGUGAGGGACGAAGCCCUGGGGCGCAAACCGGAUUAGAGACCCGAGUAGUCC
rnacentral:rRNA from 1 species